GAUCCUGGCUUAGGACGAACGCUGGCGGCGUGCCUAACACAUGCAAGUCGAACGGAGUCAGAAAGCUUGCUUUUGACUUAGUGGCGGACGGUGAGUAACGCGUGAGUAACCUGCCUCUGAGAGGGAAUAACGUUCUGAAAAGAACGCUAAUACCGCAUAACGUAUCGAAGCCGCAUGACUUUGAUACCAAAGAUUUUAUCGCUCGGAGAUGGACUCGCGUCCGAUUAGUUAGUUGGUGAGGUAACGGCUCACCAAGACCGCGAUCGGUAGCCGGACUGAGAGGUUGAUCGGCCACAUUGGGACUGAGACACGGCCCAGACUCCUACGGGAGGCAGCAGUAGGGAAUUUUCGGCAAUGGGCGCAAGCCUGACCGAGCAACGCCGCGUGAAGUGAUGAAGGUUUUCGGAUCGUAAAGCUCUGUUGUAAGGGAAGAAUGGCGCGGAUAGACUCCGCGAUUGACGGUACCUUACCAGAAAGCCACGGCUAACUACGUGCCAGCCGCCGC
rnacentral:rRNA from 1 species